rnacentral:rRNA from 1 species
UACAGAGGGUGCAAGCGUUAAUCGGAAUUACUGGGCGUAAAGCGUGCGUAGACGGUUAUGUAAGUCGGGUGUGAAAGCCCCGGGCUCAACCUGGGAAUGCCAUUCGAGACUGCAUAGCUAGGGUGCGGAAGAGGGAAGCGGAAUUUCCGGUGUAGCGGUGAAAUGCGUAGAUAUCGGAAGGAACACCAGUGGCGAAAGCGGUUCUCUGGGCCUUACCUGACGCUGAGGAGCGAAAGCGUGGGGAGCGAACAGG